CCUAAUUCAGCUUAAUUUUAAUUCUACUUCCUUCCUCCUCCCCUCGGACCUAUCUUUUUCUUGGAACCUCAGCAGCACAUCCCCAACUCUUCCUCUCAUCUGCUUCUUGCUGCUGUCCUGGGACUUGACUUUUCUGCCCAGACGUCACAAACAAGGUGAAACCCACACUAAGUGAUGUUGAGGAGGGUGCCUCCAUAAGAUGAACAUGGAAUUGGCCAGAUAUCAGAGAUCACAUUGCACCAUCCUAAGGAAAUGCACUCCAUUUGACGAGCUCAAAGGAGACUGAAACAAAAUAACUCCCAUCAAGUUUUUUCUGGGGAAGAAUAACUCUACAAUGCUCCGAAGCAUGGGCAAAUGGCUAAACUUCAAAACAAUUCCAAAAUCUUUUACUUUUAGGUCUGUAUUCUAAAUGACCAAAAACAAUUGUCUGCAUCAGUGUCAGUUGUUCUAGUAAAACCUUAUAGAGAGCUGCCUGAACAAGUGAAGAAAGCACCUACGCUGCUUCAAGACAACACCACUACAAGCAAUGAACAGCAGUAGUAUGACACCAAAGAAAAAGAAAGAGGCUACAAAUUGUUUUGCCAGCAUGAUAAAAAUAAUGGGGACUUCAAUGUGAUUGAUAAAUGAAACUUUCAAAAGCACUGCCAAAUACUGAGCUUUAAACUAUUCUUGCAAUAAUUGGAAUUUAAAAUGCUAAUGUUUGCUGAGAAAGGGUGCCAUGUGCCUGAAAGCUUGUUUAAGAUCCUUCCAAUAAAUUAUAUCACCCCAAAAAUCCUUA